rnacentral:tRNA from 1 species
GCGCAUGUGGCGGAAUUGGUAGACGCGCUGUCUUCAGGCGGCAGUGCCUUCGGGCGUGGAGGUUCGACUCCUCUCAUGCGCA